rnacentral:rRNA from 1 species
UACAGGGGGUGCAAACGUUGCUCGGAAUCAUUGGGCGUAAAGCGCACGUAGGCGGUCUGUUAUGUCGGAUGUGAAAGCCCUUGGCUCAACUGAGGAAGUGCAUCCGAAACUGGCAGGCUAGAGUACUAAAGAGGAUCGCGGAAUUCCCGGUGUAGAGGUGAAAUUCGUAGAUAUCGGGAGGAACACCGGUGGCGAAGGCGGCAUCCUGGACCGGUAUUGACGCUGAGGCGCGAAAGCAUGGGGAGCGAACAGG